CACGUGUUACCAGUCUUAAAGGGAGGCAGUUUUGGCCAUUUCUUCGCCGUUUUCUCGCUUUUUGCUGUCAGGUUUCUCUAUAGAGCUCCCCCUACAGCUUCAGAAUAGAUAUUUGGCAGCUCCUGU